rnacentral:rRNA from 1 species
CCUACGGGCGGCAGCAGUGAGGAAUAUUGGUCAAUGGGCGCGAGCCUGAACCAGCCAAGUCGCGUGAGGGAAGACGGUCCUAUGGAUUGUACACCUCUUUUGUCGGGGAGCAAAAGACGCCACGCGUGGCGUUCCGAGAGUACCCGAAGAAAAAGCAUCGGCUAACUCCGUGCCAGCAGCCGCGGUAAUACGGGGGAUGCGAGCGUUAUCCGGAUUUAUUGGGUUUAAAGGGUGCGCAGGCGGAAGUUCAAGUCAGCGGUAAAAUUGAGGGGCUCAACCUCGUCGUGCCGUUGAAACUGGUUGUCUUGAGUGAGUGAGAGGUAGGCGGAAUGCGUGGUGUAGCGGUGAAAUGCAUAGAGAUCACGCAGAACUCCGAUUGCGAAGGCAGCAUACCGGCGCUCAACUGACGCUCAUGCGCGAAAGUGUGGGUAUCGAACAGGAUUAGAUACCCCUGUAGUC